rnacentral:lncRNA from 10 species
GGGAUUGGGAAUUUUUAAGAGAUCCCAGAACAUUCUAAUAUGCACACAGGUUUGGGAACCACCAGUUUUCCUGAAGAGAGUUUAAUGAAGGGACUUUAAAAAAGUUUUAUUGAGGUAUAAUUGGCACACAAUAAACUGCACAUAUUCAAAACAUACAAUUUGAUGAUAAGUUUUUAAAAACCAUCUUAACCAUUUUAAGUGUAUCAUUCCACAGUAUAUUUUUAAGUAUAUUCAUAUAUAAGUAUAUUCAUAUUGUUUGAGGAUCUCCAGACCUUUUUCAUCCUGUAAAACCAAGACCGUACCCAUUAAACAACUCCCCGUUUCCCCUCCCCCAGCCCCUGGCAACCACCAUUCUACUUUCUGUCUCUGUGACUUUGAUGACUCCAGGUACCUCGUAGAAGAGGAAUCACACAGGCCGGGCACAGUGACCACACCCAUAAUCCCAGCACUUUGGGAGGCCGAGGUAGGUGGAUCACCUGAGGUCAGGAGUUCGAGACCAGCCUGGCCAACAUGGCGAAACCCCAUCUCUACUAAAAAGACAAAAAAAAAUUUAGCUGGACAUAGUGGCGCACGUCUAUAAUCCCAGCUACUCGGGUGGCUGAGGCAUAGAAUCGCUUGACCUAGGAGGCGGAGGUUGCAGUGAGCUGAGAUCAUGCCACUGCACUCCAGCCUGGGUAAUAGAGCAAGACUCCAUCUCAAAAAACAAACAAAAAAAAAAGGAAGUGGAAUUACACGAAUGUCUUUUUGUGACUGACUGAUUUCACUAGCAUAAGGUCCUUGAGGUUCAUCCUUGUCGCAUAUGGCAGGAUUUCCUCCCUUUUUAAGGCUGAACAAUAUUCCGUUGUAUGUAUGUACCACAUUUUCUUUAUCCAUUCAUCUGUCCAUGAGCAUUGAGGUGACUUCCAUCUCUUGGCUAUUGUGAAUAAUGCUGCUAUGAACACGGGGUUCCAGGCAUCUCUUUGAGACCUUGCUGUUAAUUAUUUUGAAUAUAUAUGCCCAGAAUUGGGAUUGCUGGGUCAUGUGGUAAUUCUAUUUUUAGUUUUUUGAGGAACCACUCUACUGUUUUCUAUAUCAGCCACACCAUUCUACAAUCCCACCCACAGCGCACAAGGGUUCCAAUUUCCCCACAUCCUCGCCAACACUUGCUAUUUUGUUUCUUGGAUAGUAGCCAUCCUCAUGGGUGUGAAGUACUAGCUCAUUAUGAACUUGAUUUGCAUUUCUCUAAUGAUGAAUGGUGCUGAGCAUCUUUUCAUGUGCUUGUCGGCUGUUUGUAAAUCAUCUUUGGAGAAAUAAUGAAAGGACCUGGUAGGGGAUGAUGAUGCACCAGAGACUAGUGAAAGCAGCACGUUGUAACCACCUCUAGCUCUGUGGGCCAGAGGAGAGCACUGGGUACCAGAAUCACAGAUCAGGAGCUGUGGAAGGCGCUGCCCGACAGGAUGGGGGACCCUGGGAGAGGGAUGCAGCCACAUCCAAACUGUGGCCCAGAAGAGGGAGUGGGAAAAGUCCUCGACCUCUCUGUCUUCCUGCUGUCUUCCAAUAUCCUACCUGGGUGAGGUCAGCCUCCUGGGGAUCAGAGCAGGGCAGGGAGGGGUGAGAAUGAAUCCACUGGUGGUGGGGGCAAGGGGCAAAUAGAAUCACCCAAAAAAGAGGUAUAUGUUGCUGACUCCAUUUUACAGUCGGGGAAACUGAGAGUCAUGUUUGGCACAGUUUAGAGGGACUUGGACCAAGAUUUGGACUUUGCUCUAGGUGAUGCCAGCCUGAUUAUUCUAACCUGUAAGCUACACCACCUUCUGGCAGUGGGCAGUGCCCAAUGGGGGAGGGUGCGGGGGCAGUGCCCUUCCCGCCAGAUGCCACCCCUCCCUUGAGCUUGGUCGAGGGUGAUCUGCCUUCUCCUUCCUUCCUCUUCCAUUUAGAAAGCAACGGGUCUGAAAGGUAAUUCUGUUCUUGAUGAGGGUGCAGGCAGCAGAGGGAAUUGUCAUCCUGCUGAAGACACACAGCUCUUCCAUGCUCUACCCUAUGUGUAAUUUGUUCUUAUCUGCUCCUGGAGCCACCACCUGCUACAGUGUAAAGAGACCCCACAGACUCUCUGGAUCAAACUACUCACUGUCCAGAAGGAGAAAAUGAGGUCCUAUGUCUGUGGCUAGAACCCAGGCCUCUGGGGAGCAACCCAGGGCUCCAUCCAGGGUGACCUGAGCCUGCUCUGCUCAUCAGAGCCAGUCUUUACCACCCUUCAUAUCCCGGGAGCCCACAGGUAGAAAGAUGGGCAUUGCAGGUCACCGUGGUUCCCCCACUGAAGCAAGUUCCCUGGCUCGCGAUUAGCCAGUGCUCUGCUGGUUCAUGAUGCGCUCCAAAUGCUAGACCAAGAAAGAAACUGGGUCGGUGGGCAGGACACAGGACCAGCGCUCUGGGAGGAGAGCUGUUCUCAAGCAGUUUGGUGGCAUCAGAGCCUCUGUGUGGUCAGUCAAGCAGGGCAGCCAAUUUCCUCUCCUUUCAGCCCUAACUCUGGACUCCUGUACCUGGAGGGGCUCCCUUUGUGCUCCUGCAGCCCAGAAGCCCUCCGAGGCUUGACAUGAAAGAGUCGCGGGAUCUUGGACUGUUCCGGUGGAAGGGCUCCUAGCAAAACCCAGAUGUUUUCUCUUCUUGUAUGGAUGGGAGGACCGAAGUCCAGAGAAGUGGAAUAACUUGCCCAGGGUUGUGCUGAGAUUUGUGAAGGUGCCGGAUGCUGGUGUGCUGGUGGCUGGCAUGCUCUGAGCCCUUCCUUCCCGCUGUUUCCCUGGAGUUCUGCUUGGCAACCACCCGCCUGCAUUUUUGCAAAGUGAUGUCAUCUGCAGAUAAUGGUUUUUCCGUUCCUGGUGGAGCAGGAGUUCCAGAUACAGUGCUUCGGGGGAGGGGCUCAAGAGAGCUGAUUGUGCACUCCUCAGGCAAGUGGGGGCUGCAUAGACCCCCUCCCCUCUGACAGUCACAUCUCAGUUGUAAGGCAAGGCACCGUCUCAGGCUUCCUGGACUCCGGAACCUGGAAUGACCAAAAUGGCAGAGGCCCCAGAGACAAGCCUCCCCUGCCUCCUCCUUGUAGAGUUGGGAAUCUGAGGCCCAGAGAGGGCAGAGCCUUGCCCAAGCUCACACAGCAUUUACAGGCAAAACCUUGACUCACAUCCCGACUCCUAACAUCUGUGGCCACUUGCCCGUGGUUGGGGGUUUUUCACCCUCAACACCGUUGACAUUUUGGGCCAAGGAGUUUUGUUGUGGGGGCAGUCCCUUUCAUGGCAGGAUGUUUGGCAGCAUCCCUGGCCUCGACCUCCUACAGGCCAGUAGCACCCCUCUCCAGUUCUCAAAUCCAGACACUGCCAAAUGUCUUUCACCUAAGUUGGGGUGGGAGAAAGUAACCCUCCAGCUCCUAAGACCUUUAUCCACUGCCAUAGGCAGGAGAGGUUUCUUGAGUCCAAGCCCAAAGGGUGCUUUGUCUGAGGCUCUGACUUAACGUCAGGCACCUUCAGGAUGGGAGGCAGGCCUGGAGGGGGCUAUGAGGGGCUGGAGAUGGUCCAGGCCCUCCUUCUGGUUAGGAACACUGCUUCCUCUGAUCACUUUUCUUGGAGCAAAACUGCCGAUUUAUUUUCCUGGGGAAAUAAAAAUAAAUGCUGGCUGUUGUAAUCUCAUCCCUGAUCCCAUCUGGAAAAAGCAGGCUCAUGAAUCUUGGCCGCCUGAGCUCUGAGGACUGUGUCUGGCGGAACCUGGAGUUACAAUGGGCCUUCGAACAUCGGAACAGUCACGGCUGACAUUUCCUUUCCCGUUACAUGGCUCCUUGGAAUGUGAGCCCCAGGGGGCCGUCCGUGGGCAGGCGGAAUUUGGUGGAAAGAAGUGCUGCACGGGCCGGAGGCCAGCUCAGCUUCUGACUUGCUGUGUGACUUUGGGCCACUUUUCUGUUCGUUUCUGGGCCUUGAUUUCUCCAUCUGCAGAAUGAGGGGAGCCACGUUCCUCAACAAGGGGUCCAUGGACCACCUUGUAUCAGAACCAUUUAGGGAAUGUGUUUAUGGCUAUUCCUGAUAUUUCUGAUUCCUCUUCCAGACCUCCUAAAGUUUUUAUGCAUCUCUAAGUGAUUUCGAUAUAUAUAAGUUUUGGGACCCACAACACCAAGGACUUUGAACUUUCCACCCAGUUUCAAGUUUGAACACAUCACAGUUCUUCAGCCUCCUUCCCCCUCAUAACGAAGUGUAGAGUUAUGAAGCUAGAGGGUAAAAUUAUGGGGUGGGCUGGAACUGGGCAUUGCUCCUAACAAUUAUCUGCUUUCAAACUCUUGGCAGGGUCUCUGGGGUCCUUGAUCCAACUGAAAUCACUGUUAAAGCACUUUAUUCCUCCAGUAAUGAAACUCGAGCUGCUAGUUACAGAGUUUGGUUUCAAAAUUGUGCCAUUUAUUAUUUUUGUUGGAUUGGCUUAUAAACCCUCAUAUAGUCAUACAUCAUUUAUAAUGCAUUAUUCCAUGAGAAUGCAUUUUCCAGAUGAGAUUUAUUUUUUCUGUUAAAAACUUAAAACUGUUCUUUUUUUUUUUUUAAAUGGCAGUCUUUCGCCAUGUGUUACCUAUUUAUACCACCUUAAGUGAAGGUCAGGAAAUGCAAUUUUACUUAUUCUCAAUGCUCCAGGGUUGUCAUUGUGAGUUUUAACUACUGUAUGCAUUGAUGUAAAUUUUAGGGACUCCAAAACUCACUGUGCCUGAACUAUGAAUGUCCCCCAAGCUGCUUAGCCCUUGUGUCUGCUUUUAAAAGUUCUGCUUUGCUUCUAUAUUUUUAAAGAUUUCUUCCUCAUGAGAUAUCAGCAGUUACUUCUCACCACGUUAUCAUGACUCCUUUGGAUGAAAAACCAAUAACCAGUGUGUAUCAGGAUUGUCUGUAGUGUAAGAGUUCAUAAUCAAUGAAUGAGAGGACUCUCUGAUGAGUCAGGGAUGUGGAUUUUUGACAUUUGUUUUGGCAGCUGAGAAUAAGGGGUAGUUUUUUUCUUUCUAAUUUUCACCCCAAUAGCAGCUGCUUUCUGAGAGUUUUCUAGAUAAAUGUGAAAUGAGUGUAGAUCGAUUUUUCCAUGUAACUAAUUUACAUUCUGGGUGAACUCAUUUUGCUUCUGACUUAGAGGUGCUUUCAUUUCCUUCUCAUCUGCACCCUGUUCUUGGAGAAGCUGCUCCACCCCUAGCCCAUGAUACAUGAUGCAUGACCCAGCCCACUGGGCCCCCUGAUGCCACCUGGGCCAAUCAGAUUUUCCAGUCAGGAAAUUUGCAAUUGAGAUUCAGAGCUGGAAAGAGUCACCUGCUCUGAUGGGAGCUGCAUUUGUGGACUGUGACUCAGAGGCUGAGGCCCCAGGGAGCCGACCCCAUGGGCCCUGGGCAAGCCCAGAGUGAAUGUGGAAGCCGGGCUGUGGAGGUUCCCUGAGCAGACAGUCCGGGUGGUCACGGUGUCUACAAUUCCAUCACCAGAUCUUCCAUUUCCAGGAGUAACCCUGGGCAGGUGUAUACCAUGUGUCUUGUUUACAGUGGGGAUUAAUAGUUCAAGGAGCCCAAGGUAAGGAAACCCAUAUUUGAUGAAUCUCCAGACAAUUUAUACCCACCACACAGCCUUAUGAAGAUAGCCCAAUCACGCCUAUUUUACAGAGGGGAAAACUGAAGUUCUGAGAGGUGAGCUGACUUGCCCAAGGUCACAUAGCACGUCAAAAUCGGGGCUCACAUCUGCAUCCAGAGUCCAGGCUCUUUGCCCUAAAGCAAGCUCAUCUGAUCUGGGAGCUGGGGAUAGGCUGAGGAGGCGAGCGGGUGACAAAAUGAACUUGUCCCAUGGAGUCAUUCAGUGGGAAAAGUUGUGGUUUGGGAAUUAGGGCCAAAUGGCUCCUUAACCUUGGGCAUCAUGGUGGGCCUCAAUUUCCUUACCUCUGCAGGAGGGAAGGACCGGAUGUACUCUGCAAUCCCAGAAAACUCAAUGGGCUGAGGCAGGAGGACCUACUGGCCAUUGAAGACUGUCCACUCCUGGUCCAGAUUCCAAGUGACCAGGCAGAAAGAGCAUGGACUUUGGAGUUUGAUUGCCUGGCUUUAAAUCCCCCUGCUCCACUCGCUACUGUGGUGUGGACUCAAAUUCAACAAAUAUUCAUGCUGGAAUGGGAUGCAGAAGUCACCUACUUUCAGAGAUGGGGAAACUGAGACCCAGAGAGGGCACAGCCUUUUCUCGGGGGCCUCCAGUGACUCAGAGUCAAAUCUGUGCUUCUUGGCUCCUGGAUCUCUGAGCUGCACCCACUGGACCCCUAUGCCAACCCCAGCACCCCUGUUCUCCAUGGCGGCCCCGCCCUGAGGAUUUCCUAUGCCUUUCUACAGAGCUUUCUCCUUCUCCUAGAUCCCUUUUCUGCAAAACGAGGCUGGGGAGUUCUGAGCCAAGCCCAGGCCCACGUGCCUGGAACCAGAGACAGCGUAAGGAGCAGACACUGCCAGGUCACUUGCAGCAGACUCCAGGAGGAAAUGAGGGAAACAGAACCUCAGCCGUAGCCUAGCCAGGGCUCUCAGAGCCUAGAAAGCUCUUAGGAGAAGUGGAGAGUUGUUCAGAUCCAGGCUAAUUUGUCAUCUCCAGCCCUUCUCUGGUGAUCAGCUUGCCUCUUCCUCUACCUGCCCCUAUAGGUAGAGGAAGCUUGCCCUUCCUCUCCUGCAUCUUCUCCUCCCCUUUCUGUCACAUGCCUUCUGCUUCUUGAGGCCUCUGCCUCAUUGUAGUUUCUCUUGCUGUCCAGUUCCGGUGAGCUCAUGGCUUCUGUAGCCCAGUUUCUCUUUGCUUCCCUUUGUGAAUCUUUCCUGCUUCGACUCUCACUCCCAACUUCUUAACUUACACUCAAUGCUCCCAGAGGGAGGACUUGAUUGGUUUGGAAGUCCCCCACCAGGACAGGCCAAGGAUUAAGUGAGUUCUUAUAUGAGGUCUCUGAUUCCCUAACUCCAGCUAGGUGUUCAAUUAUUCAGUUCAAUUCUGACACCAACUCCAGGAGUUAGUGCAGACCCCAAGGUUUAGGGCUCAGCCCCACAGGGCUGUCCCCCUUUAGCCACCAGUCACACACAAGUCCAGGGACCAUCUGUACAUCUGACUGCCUGGCUCUGAAUUUCAGGGUUCCCAUAACCUCCCCUUCUAGUUAGAUCAUUCACUAGAACAAUUCACAAAACUCAGCAAGUGCUUUACUUACUAUUACCAGUGGAUUAUAAAGGAUACUACUCAAGAACAGACUCAUGGAAGAGAUGCAGGGAACAAAACAUGGGGGAUUUGCACAAAGCUUCCACGCCCUCCCAGCGAGUCCCUGUGUUCACCAGCCCUGAAGCUCCCAAACCCUGUUGUUUAGGGGUUUUUCUUGCAGUUUCAUUAUGAUGGAUUAAAUCAUUGGCCAUUGGCGAUUGAAUUCAAUCUCCAGCCCAUCUUACCCCCAUGGAGGCUGUAGGGGGUGUGGGGGUAACCAGCCCUCAUCAUGAAGCUCUCUAGGGCUCCUCCAUAAGUCAUCUCAUUAGCAUAUGAAAGGCAAUACGUUCAGGGGUUUUAGGAGCUCUGUGCCAGGAAUUAGAGACCAAGACCAAAUAUUUAUAUUUUAUACCACACCAGGCCACUUCUCAGCCCACUGGCCAACUUCAAGAUUGACUGCUGUUAGGUCACAAUACCCACUUGGCCAGGGGUAGAGAUCACUCAGUAUCAUGUGUGGUGUAAGCUGUUGAGAUUAGGCAUAGACAGUGGCAGGUGACUGACGGGCUGGACAACUGACAGAUGCUCACCUUGGCCAGUGUAGGCACAGAUAGGGCAGGACCCCAUUUGUUUAAGUGUUCCAUCCUCAGAAAUCCCCUCUCCCCCACUUCUUCCUUCUCUUCAUUCCUUCUUUGCUAUUUUUAAAUGGCACAUUGGAAAUAAAACAAUUGUCAAUGUAUUCAGCCCUCCCGCAGCGGGCUGCCAAUCAGCACAGUCCAGCCUACCUCCGCUUCCAUUCCCUCCACCUUAGCCCUCACCUCCCUCUUUGCUCUUGCCCCCGUCUCCGGGCACUCAGGUCUCUGUUAGUUUCUCAACAGCUUUGCAUAUGCUGUUCCCUCUAUUUGGAAUGCUCUUCCCCAUCUCCCACCCCUGGCUGGCUUUUCCUGGCCACCCACUCUGAAUGAUGCGCUCCUCUUACAUAUGUGCCCUGUGUGUUUCUUUACUGAUACUUGUCAGCCUGCUGAUCGACUUAUUUGCACAAACAUUUAAUAAAUCACUGGACCGUCUGCUGUAGGCGGGCAGAGAUCAGAUCUGUUUUGUCUUGCUCAGUACUGUGCAAUAACACCUAGAACAGGCCUGGCUUGGUAGAUAGCUAUUGAAUAAGUGAGUGAAUGGAUGAAUGUCAUUGAAUCAGAGAUGAUUAUGAUUCACAAAGGCUUAUAUGUAUGAGUGAAUUUGAAAAAAUAGAAACAACUUGAAUAUUCAAUAAUAGCCAAUUAAAAAUAUAGUAACCUACAAUGGAAUUUGCAUGGCA